rnacentral:misc_RNA from 1 species
UCGUAACAAGGUCUCCGUUGGUUAACCAGCGGAGGGAUCAUUACCGAGUUUACAACUCCCAAACCCCUGUGAACAUACCAAUUGUUGCCUCGGCGGAUCAGCCCGCUCCCGGUAAAACGGGACGGCCCGCCAGAGGACCCCUAAACUCUGUUUCUAUAUGUAACUUCUGAGUAAAACCAUAAAUAAAUCAAAACUUUCAACAACGGAUCUCUUGGUUCUGGCAUCGAUGAAGAACGCAGCAAAAUGCGAUAAGUAAUGUGAAUUGCAGAAUUCAGUGAAUCAUCGAAUCUUUGAACGCACAUUGCGCCCGCCAGUAUUCUGGCGGGCAUGCCUGUUCGAGCGUCAUUUCAACCCUCAAGCCCAGCUUGGUGUUGGGACUCGCGAGUCAAAUCGCGUUCCCCAAAUUGAUUGGCGGUCACGUCGAGCUUCCAUAGCGUAGUAGUAAAACCCUCGUUACUGGUAAUCGUCGCGGCCACGCCGUUAAACCCCAACUUCUGAAUGUUGACCUCGGAUCAGGUAGGAAUACCCGCUGAACCUAAGCAUAUC